GGGGUGCAGCAGGCGCGAAAACUUUACAAUGCUGGCAACAGCGAUAAGGGGACCUCGAGUGCCAGGAUACAAUCUUGGCUGUCGUGAUGCCUAAAAAGCAUUGCAUAGCAAGGGCCGGGCAAGACCGGUGCCAGCCGCCGCGGUAACACCGGCGGCUCGAGUGGUAACCGCUAUUAUUGGGUCUAAAGGGUCUGUAGCCGGCCGGAUAAGUCUUUUGGGAAAUCCAGCUGCUCAACAGUUGGGCUUUCAGAAGAUACUGUUCGGCUCGAGGCCGGGAGAGGUGAGAGGUACUUCAGGGGUAGGGGUGAAAUCUUGUAAUCCUUGAAGGACCACCAGUGGCGAAGGCGUCUCACCAGAACGGUCCUGACGGCAAGGGACGAAAGCUAGGGGCACGAACCGGAUUAGAUACCCGGGUAGUCCUAGCCGUAAACGAUACUCGCUAGGUGUCAGCCACGGUGCGACCGUGGUUGGUGCCGUAGGGAAGCCGUGAAGCGAGCCACCUGGGAAGUACGGCCGCAAGGCUGAAACUUAAAGGAAUUGGCGGGGGAGCACAAGGGCGAUUCGC
rnacentral:rRNA from 1 species